rnacentral:rRNA from 1 species
UACGUAGGGGGCAAGCGUUAUCCGGAAUUACUGGGUGUAAAGGGAGCGUAGACGGUGAUGCAAGUCUGAAGUGAAAUGCGGGGGCUCAACCCCUGAACUGCUUUGGAAACUGUAUGACUUGAGUACCGGAGGGGUAAGCGGAAUUCCUAGUGUAGCGGUGAAAUGCGUAGAUAUUAGGAGGAACACCGGUGGCGAAGGCGGCUUACUGGACGGUAACUGACGUUGAGGCUCGAAGGCGUGGGGAG